rnacentral:pre_miRNA from 1 species
GGUUAUGGUCUAACCCGUCUUAGUAUAGUUCACUUUCUACGACGGUUAUACAUGUAACCGUAUUAGAAAGUGAACUAUACAAAGACGGUUAUUCCAAAAAC